rnacentral:lncRNA from 1 species
AAGAAGAAGAAGAAGAAGAAGAAGAAGAAGAAGAAGAAGAAGAAGAAGAAGCAGAAGAAGAAGAAGAAGAGGAUACUAUUCCCUGGGUUCCUUAGCACGUGUGGUUUCAGACGCCAUCGUAAAGGAUGCGAACCAGCAUAUUCUUGUGCAAGAAAUCAGAAUUCUCCAGCGAGAAACCCCACGCCACAACUGUCGUCUGCUAAAAGUCUCUGCAUUGCGUCAUCGCCCGCUAGUUCUGAUAAGUACAUGAGAGACAAUCGAUCAAGCUGAACGUCUCUUACGCCCCCCCCCCCCUCGCAUGUCCACUUCAUCAACGUCGCCUCUGGAGGACCUUUCAUUGAUGACCGGAGAGAGGGAGAAGCGUGCUGCAGAAAGCAUCGAAGAUUUUACGCUCGGGCGUGGAGAGGGGAUGUCGGAUAGGGCUUCGUUCCCCGGUCUAAGAAACCAUGGAAGCGGUCCGAGAGAUCAAUCGAGUGGAGCAGAUGAGGCCAACAUUUCGAGCUCCAGCGGCGGGCUGACGGCGGAGAAUUAACAGAUCACGACGGGUUGCGCCG